rnacentral:rRNA from 1 species
UCGAGAAUCUUCCGCAAUGGACGAAAGUCUGACGGAGCGACGCCGCGUGCGGGAUGAAGGCCUUCGGGUUGUAAACCGCUGUCAGUUGGGAGGAAAUGCAUGAGGGCUAUCUCUCAUGUUUGACCGAUCUUCAGAGGAAGUCCGGGCUAAGUUCGUGCCAGCAGCCGCGGUAACACGAACCGGACGAACGUUAUUCGGAAUCACUGGGCUUAAAGAGUCCGUAGGCGGCUAUGUAGGUGAGGUGUGAAAUCCCACGGCUCAACCGUGGAACUGCGCUUCAAACCAUAUGGCUAGAGGGAGAUAGAGGUGAGCGGAACUGAUGGUGGAGCGGUGAAAUGCGUUGAUAUCAUCAGGAACACCGGUGGCGAAAGCGGCUCACUGGGUCUCUUCUGACGCUGAGGGACGAAAGCUAGGGGAGCGAACGGGAUUAGAUACCCCUGUAGUCC